rnacentral:rRNA from 1 species
UGGGGAAUAUUGGACAAUGGGCGCAAGCCUGAUCCAGCAAUACCGCGUGUGUGAAGAAGGCCUUAGGGUUGUAAAGCACUUUCAGUGGGGAAGAAGUGAUUAUUACUAAUAGUAAUAAUUAUUGACGUUACCCACAGAAGAAGCACCGGCUAACUCUGUGCCAGCAGCCGCGGUAAUACAGAGGGUGCAAGCGUUAAUCGGAAUUACUGGGCGUAAAGAGCGCGUAGGUGGUUUAUUAAGUUUCGUGUGAAAUCCUCGGGCUCAACCUGGGAACUGCAAGGGAUACUGAUAAGCUAGAGUAUGGUAGAGGUUAGUGGAAUUUCCGGUGUAGCGGUGAAAUGCGUAGAUAUCGGAAGGAACACCAGUGGCGAAGGCGACUGACUGGACCAAUACUGACACUGAGGCGCGAAAGCGUGGGUAGCGAACAGG